rnacentral:rRNA from 1 species
ACAUACCCAGCAAAGCUAUUGAGAUAUAGUGGAGGUUAUCUGGGAUACAGGUGGUGCAUGGUUGUCGUCAGCUCGUGUCGUGAGAUGUUGGGUUAAGUCCCGCAACGAGCGCAACCCUUGUCUUUAGUUACCAUCAUUAAGUUGGGGACUCUAGAGAGACUGCCGGUGAUAAACCGGAGGAAGGUGGGGAUGACGUCAAAUCAUCAUGCCCCUUAUGGCCUGGGCUACAAACGUAAUACAAUGGCGUAUACAAAGGGAUGCGAAGUGGUGACAUGGAGCAAAACUCAUAAAGUACGUCUCAGUUCGGAUUGAAGUCUGCAACUCGACUUCAUGAAGCUGGAAUCGCUAGUAAUCGCGGAUCAGCAUGCCGCGGUGAAUACGUUCUCGGGGUUUGUACACACCGCCCGUCAAACCAUGAGAGUUGAUAAUACCCGAAGCCGGUGGCCUAACCGUAAGGAAG